CUUUCUUUGCUGGCGACCGGCGCACGGGUGAGUAACACGUAUCCAACCUGCCCUUUACUCGGGGAUAGCCUUUCGAAAGAAAGAUUAAUACCCGAUAGUAUAAUGAUUCCGCAUGGUUUCAUUAUUAAAGGAUCCCGGUAAAGGAUGGGGAUGCGUUCCAUUAGGUUGUUGGUGAGGUAACGGCUCACCAAGCCUUCGAUGGAUAGGGGUUCUGAGAGGAAGGUCCCCCACAUUGGAACUGAGACACGGUCCAA
rnacentral:rRNA from 1 species